GGACCCGUAGCUCAGCCAGGAUAGAGCGCCGGCCUGCGGUAAGGUAGAGAGCCGGCGGUCCCGGGUUCAAGUCCCGGCGGGUCCG
rnacentral:tRNA from 1 species